rnacentral:lncRNA from 1 species
UCAGAACCUUAAUGCAAAUUAUUUAAAUCAUACCUCACUUGGUUAACCUUAGGUGCAUUUCCUUGGUUAUACUUUUCUUGAAGAUCCUUCCAUGCUAUGCUUGCUUCUUCAGUAUGCAUUAGCGUGGAUGAGAUCUGAGGUGAUACACUGUUGACUAUCCAUGAGAGGACUAGUCCAUUGACAGUCUCCCAAGUCUCGAAUUCUUUUCCUCCUCUAUCCUCUGGUUUUUAAAUUUUUCCAUUCACAAAAGAAAUUUUUCUUCUGGACAGUAGAGAGAGUCUCAUUGCAUUGGCCCAACUCGUAUAAUUUGAUUCCCCAACAAGCUUGUCUGCAAUCAUCAGUACCCCCGGAUGAUCCCCGGAGUUCAGGUAGUAUAUAGAUUCCCUGUCAUUUAUUGCUGAAACAGGGCCUGAUCGACUUGUGCGAGUGACACCUAUGAUGAGACUUUCGCCGAUGCUUGGAGGAUGAAUGCGAUUUGCGGCGUGGAGAUUGCAUGAUUGAUGGAGGAGAAGAUGGAGCAGAGUUCGACGAUCCUGAUUGAUUUUCAUCUUCAUUUUGGGCGACAACGAGUUCUUCAUCUCCUUGAUUAGCGGAAGCACGGCCGUUACUACCGGCAGAUACCAUGAUAAAAUGUGGGUGCGCUUUGUUUAAAAGAAACGCACGAAAUCCGGUGAAAGCAGAU